rnacentral:lncRNA from 1 species
UCAUUGCCAUUUGAUUCCUCUGAACUUUGUUUCCUUUAGUUUGUGUUGUAUUUUGUAUGCCUUUCUGUUUCUUGCAUAAAACUAUGAACCUUUUUCAUCUUAUCAAACAUGCUGACAUGAUAGUUUGUGAAUCAGAGACAACACCAGAGGUACUUGAGGUUUCUGAUACAUCAUCUCCAAGCAAUAAAUCUCCUAAAGGAAGCUUUUUAAAGGUCUUGCCAACUCAAUUAGAGGUACAUAAAAGAUUAUGAUCCUUAAGCAAGUUCAAUCAAGAACAAUCAAAGUUCUUCAAGAACUCGAAAACAAGAUGAAUGAAAUACCUCUUCUCUAUUGAAUUUGAUGAUAUUGGUGCAAAAUGAAUACAAUACUCAAUGAAUCCUCAUUUCACUAUUUUUUUUAUAAUCAAAACAGAAAUAACUAACUAUUGACACGUGUUAAGUACUAAGGGAUAUAAUUUCCUAGAGGUUGCUUGAUGCACAUGCAACCAUUACUUAGAUCAGAAGGGGAGUCAAAGAUUGUAAAAAUAUGAUCGUAACAUGACUCGUAAGAUCCUACUUAUCAAUAUAUAUGCACAUAAAUUCAUAUAUAUACACAUUACUAAUUUACUAGAAAGAUUUGAAAUAAAUAUAUAGUAUCCAACAUAGAAAACUUAAAAAGUUUCACUUAGUAUUAUUUUUUUCUAAAUAAUUAUAUGUUUCACUAUAGUUAAUAUGGUACAUUUAAUAGUUUAGAGAUUAGAUACUUUUCUAUUAAAAAAAUAUUUAGUUCAUAAAAGAAAUAAAAAAGGAUAAGAUACUUAUAAACAAAAAGACCUUCUGACUAUACCAAAAAAAACCAAGCUUCCUUAUUGUACCAAAAAAAGCAAGCAUCCUUAAACAAACAGAUAUAAGUGAUCUCAUGUUGUCCAGUAUUGUAAACAAUUUGAUCAAACUCUAAUAGCAUCCAUGAGUCAUCUCCUUCAUUUUGCAACAUAACAUAAGGCAUAGAAAAUAAACAAAACGAAGAUAUAGUAAACUUAGAGAAAUGGAAAGUGGAGAUAGAAAGAGAACAAAGAAGAGAGAGAAGGAAAAGUUGUAUCGGUAGAUAUGAGAAAAAAAAGGAGGAAGAAGGAGUACAUGUGUUUAGGGUUUUAUCAACCUAGGUCACACACCAACAUGGGGCUAAAGAUGGACAUCGAUUUCAUCGAUCCUAUGCUCCAACAUGACGAUUUCACACGAUUCUAUGGAGGUCGAGCACGAACUGAGAUUGAGCAUGAGCUAGCUCUUGAAGAUCGUAAAGUUGUGCAAUUUUAACUACCAUGUCGGUGAGGUUUGGAUGUGAUGUGUGUGAUGCCUCGGUCAAGCUUGAGAUGUGGUGUUUCGGUCUGGCAUAGUCAAUUGGCUUAUUUAUUCGGUUAGUUGUCUCGGUCAGUUGGCCCAUAUGCUCGGUCAUAAGGCUUGCCAUUGAUAUGGUCAUGUUGCGCAUAGUUGUCUCGGUUAGAAUAGAAUUUGUAUCAGUCAAAAUAGACUUUGUCUCGGUCACAAAUGUGAGAUUGGUUUGUUUGAGCAUCGCAGGCCAUCAUCUGAUUUCCUAGCUUAGCUAAUAGUAUCUAAAAGUGGGAGGAAUCUUCCUCCCGAAGUCUAACAACGGAAUGUGAUCUUAUCCAUUUUGGCAAUAUGGAUGGGAGUCAUAAUCAUGAUUUAUAAAGUCCCUCUUAAUGCUAAAAUAUCAUUAAUGGCUAUGAUUAUCACCAUAGUUGACAAUAUCGACAUCCUACGUAAGAUCGGAAGGGG